UCAGGCAGGCAACUAACACAGUCUGCUGAUACCCAGAGCAUCCCGAAAUAGGUUCAGCCAAGGAGAGGGAUGCUUCAGGGGAGCCAUGGAAGCUGUCAGGGAGCAGUGAGGAUCCCAUCUCCCUAAACAGCCUCUUGCUCUCUCUCCAUUUCAGUCGGACCAGAGACUCCCUCCUUUGGGAUCAGCCCCUCCAUUUCUCUCCACAGUUCAUUUGGGUAAUUAUGACUGAGGUAGAGCCAGUGCUGGAUUUUGCUUCCUCUGGGCGCACCGGCCGAAGGAACGCCUUGCCCGACAUCCUGGGUUCACCAGCUGGGGUCAGUCCAACUGAUUUGCCAUUGAAAUUGGCAGAAAUGUCCCUAAAUUCAGAUAGAUCUCAAGACAUGCAGUCACCAGCCACAGAGGUACCUCCUCAAGCACCCCAGAGUCCAGAGCUGAAAGAUACCUCCUAACCAUUUCUCCUGAAGGCAUGCAAAGCCUAUCUGAAAAUGAAAGACUACCUAAUAUCAGAAGACGUUUGCCUGGAGUUCUCUGGGAUUACAUGACCACACUUGUCUUACAAACUUUGGUGUGAAGGAGAGAGAGAGAGAGAGAGAUUGAGAGACUGAGAGAGAGAUUGAGAGAGAGAUUGCAAGAGAGAGACAGAGAUGGAGGAAAUGUGCAGCCAUGUGUUUUAUGAAGAUGAAAGGGGCUGGGACCUUGAAGGACCAUUUCUUCUUAGGGAGGGUGCUUGAAGAAGUGAACAGAGAAGUGGGGAGGGUCAGAGGGUUUCUCUGUUUUCACACCUCUGCUGCAGAGCAGCAUUGGGUUGGAGAGCGCAGGAAACGGCCUUAUUCCAGGUCAGAAUUAUGGUCCUUCUAGCUAUAUUUUGCCUACCUUGAAUGGCAGCAGCAUUUUCCCAGGGUUUCAGAUCCUGGAACAUCUGAGAUUGGAGCGUGAGAUCCUGAGAGCACAACACACAAGUCUUGGCACCCUUCCAUAAACUGUCCACCUCCUGUCAUGGAGAGAGGAUCAUACAGGUCAUUCAAGAAUCUGUGGGGGUGCGGUUUUUCUUUUUCUUUUUGUAACAAAGUGUGUUCUUCACUGUGAUG